AAGUCGUAACAAGGUUUCCGUAGGUGAACCUGCGGAAGGAUCAUUAAUGAAAGCUUGGGCUCCGGCCCUCUCUCUUCUACACACUUGUGAACUUACACUGUUGCUUUGGCAGGUUUCCGGAAGGGCAUAUGCCCCGAAGGUCAGGUCGAAAGGCGCCUGCCAAGGACAUUUAUCCACCCUUUUUAUAUUGUCUGAUUCUUGUUUAAACAAAUCAAAAUAAAA
rnacentral:misc_RNA from 1 species